rnacentral:rRNA from 1 species
GGCGAGAGGGAGCGAAAAUAAGUAGCGAAGCAGGUAAGGAUACUGACGAGAAAAGCUGUAUGUAUUUUCGAGGUGCCCGUACCGCAAACCGACACAGGUAGAUGAGGAGAGAAUCCUAAGGCCAACGGGAGAAGGGUUGUUAAGGAACUCGGCAUAUUGACCCCGUAACUUCGGAAUAAGGGGUGCCUGCAGCGAUGCAGGUCGCAGUGAAAAGGCCCAGG